rnacentral:rRNA from 1 species
CCUGGCUCAGGAUGAACGCUGGCGGCAGGCUUAAUACAUGCAAGUCGAACGGUAACAGUACUAGCAAUAGUAGCUGACGAGUGGCGCACGGGUGCGUAACGCGUAUGCAACCUACCAUAAUUGGAACAUAACGUUGAGAAUUAACGCUAAUAUUUCAUGUGAAUAUGAAGAGGCAUCUUUUUAUAUUUAAAGAUUCAUUGAUUAUGGAUGGGCAUGCGUAUCAUUAGCUAGUUGGUGAGGUAACGGCUCACCAAGGCAACGAUGAUUAGGGGUUCUGAGAGGAUAUCCCCCCACACUGGAACUGAGACACGGUCCAGACUCCUACGGGAGGCAGCAGUAGGGAAUAUUGGGCAAUGGAAGCAAUUCUGACCCAGCCAUGCCGCGUGAAGGAAUACAGCCCUAUGGGUUUUAAACUUCUUUUACUUAUAGAUUAACCGGAGGUACGUGUACCUCCCUGCAAGUAUAUGAUGAAUAAGGAUCGGCUAACUCCGUG